GAUGAACGCUAGCGGCAGGCCUAACACAUGCAAGUCGAGGGGUAGAAAGAGCUUGCUCUUUUGAGACCGGCGCACGGGUGAGUAACGCGUAUGGAACCUGCCCUCUACAGGGGAAUAGCC
rnacentral:rRNA from 1 species